GCGAUAAUACUCCAAAGGAGUGAGAGAUCAUUAAUUGGACGAAGAAGAAGACGACUGCACAUGCUAGUUACUUGGUUCAGAUAGCAGGUUCAUUAAUUUGCACGUGGCUGGAUAAGAGAAUGAUAAGAAUGUUUCUUUGAAGAGUGCAGUGGACAUGCAGUGGAAGUGAUUCCAAGAGAGUUUCAUUGUGGAACACCCCUGUCGCUUCUGUAUGGUGAAGAAGAGCGAAAUCCAACAAAGAGAGGUACGGACAGGAGCAUUUGAAUCCAGGACCAAGCUAAAUCACGAAAGG